CCUACGGGAGGCAGCAGUGAGGAAUAUUGGACAAUGGGCGCAAGCCUGAUCCAGCCAUGCCGCGUGCAGGAUGACGGUCCUAUGGAUUGUAAACUGCUUUUAUACGAGAAGAAACACUCCGACGUGUCGGAGCUUGACGGUAUCGUAAGAAUAAGGAUCGGCUAACUCCGUGCCAGCAGCCGCGGUAAUACGGAGGAUCCAAGCGUUAUCCGGAAUCAUUGGGUUUAAAGGGUCCGUAGGCGGUUUAAUAAGUCAGUGGUGAAAGCCCAUCGCUCAACGGUGGAACGGCCAUUGAUACUGUUAAACUUGAAUUAUUAGGAAGUAACUAGAAUAUGUAGUGUAGCGGUGAAAUGCUUAGAGAUUACAUGGAAUACCAAUUGCGAAGGCAGGUUACUACUAAUUGAUUGACGCUGAUGGACGAAAGCGUGGGUAGCGAACAGGAUUAGAUACCCUGGUAGUCCACGCCGUAAACGAUGGAUACUAGCUGUUGGGAGCAUCUCAGUGGUCGUAAGACGAAGUAGAGUAAGUAAGUACCGACCGUACGGGUAGGUUAACGGUUACGUCGAAGAAGUAGUUAAACGUUAACGAAAGGAAGUUAGUUACGGCGUUGAGACGUUAGCGACGGACGACGACGAGGGAGGAGG
rnacentral:rRNA from 1 species